rnacentral:rRNA from 1 species
AGAGUUUGAUCAUGGCUCAGGAUGAACGCUGGCUGUGUGCCUAAUACAUGCAUGUUAAAAAAUCUGUGCUUGCACUUUAAGACUUACUAGCGAAUGGGUGAAUAACACGUACUUAACCUACCCCCAAGUUUGGGAUAACGUUUGAAACGAACGCUAAUACCGAAUACGUAUUUUUAUCGCAUGAUAGAAAUAUAGAAGGAGCUUAGGCUUCGCUAGGGGAUGGGAGUGCGCUACAUUAGUUAGUUGGUAGGGUAAUGGCCUACCAAGACUAUGAUGUAUAGCGGGGCCGAGAGGCUGAUCCGCCACACUGGGACUGAGAUACGGCCCAGACUCCUACGGGAGGCAGCAGUAGGGAAUUUUCCACAAUGAACGAAAGUUUGAUGGAGCGACACAGCGUGCAGGAUGAAGGUCUUCGGAUCGUAAACUGCUGUUAUAAGGGAAGAAAAACUUUAGUAGGUAAUGACUAGAACUUGACGGUACCUUAUCAGAAAGCGACGGCUAACUAUGGGCCAGCAGCCGCGGUAAU